GCGCAAGCGAAUUAAGGGCGCAUGGGGGAUACCUAGGCUCUCAGAGGCGAUGAAGGACGUGAUAAGCUGCGAAAAGCUACGGGGAUUGGCACAUACAAAUUGAUCCGUAGAUAUCCGAAUGGGGCAACCCAGUACCAUGAAGUGGUAUUACCCUACGGGGGGCAAACGCGG
rnacentral:rRNA from 1 species